GCUUAUUAUUUCGCCCUCUCCGUUCUUUUUCACAGUGUGUGAAGCAGCAGCGCCAGUGAUCAUGUUUGUAGAGCGAGGACUGUUUGUGCUGAACAACCAAAGGUGACCUACAUAUGUUCUGGGCAAGUUACCGUCCACACCGUCCAAUGGCUGACUGCUAAUGAAAAUACUGUUCCUGAUGAGCCAGUUGGCAUCUUGCAUCUGAGUGAAUGGGUGACUGCUGAAGUGCUGUCGAAAUGAACGUUUAACAUUUGUCUGCUGCUCGGGGAGCUGUGGUUAUCACGGACUGGGAAGGAGCCAGAAGUGCUACGUGCUAGAAGUCCCCCACACACACAAACAACCACACACACACACACACACACAAUGAUAAGUGCAACAGCAGUUUCCGGUCCUGCAGUGUGUGAUUCAGUUUUUUUGGCCAGUCUCCUUUUUUUAAAGCAAAUCAUUAGCCUCAGUGUGUCAGACUGUUACAGGAACAUGACAUAAUCCUCCACUUGUCCCCCGAGACAGAUUUUCCUUGGACUCCACAAUGCCGUUUCAUGAGAAGAACACUCAAUCACAUAAUGGUAUAAAAUUGAAUACGUCAACACUCUUACUUUUUUUUUGACGUGAAAUGGUUUCUUAACUUAACUUUCCAAUACUCAGCUUCAUAGAACAACUGUAAAUUCACACCUGACAUGUGUUGACCUCUGUUAUUGCUAUUAAACUUUUUUCUGAUUCGUUCCGCAGUCAAUCGUUACUCAAAUUCUGCUUCCAGGAUCAGCUUUCUCGCCGUGACAAGGCAGACACAAGCCCUGUUUGAUCAUUGUUAGAUCAGCACACAUCCAGUGACACACAUAAACAUACAAAAAACAUAUUAAAACAAAUUAAAGCAAAGAGACUGAUGUCUAUAACAAGCAAUGAGCCCUUCCCCCAAAAUAUAUCUGUAAAUGUAUGUGUGUUAUCCUCCCACACAUGAAAGACAAACACCCACACACAAACAAUGUGAUCCUGACCAGGAGCUAAAAAUGGCUAGAACCAAGAGGAAGUUA